rnacentral:rRNA from 1 species
GACGAACGCUGGCGGCGUGCUUAACACAUGCAAGUCGAACGGAAAGGCCUUUUCGGAGGUACUCGAGUGGCGAACGGGUGAGUAACACGUGGGUGAUCUGCCCUGCACUCUGGGAUAAGCCUGGGAAACUGUGUCUAAUACCGGAUAGGACCGCACUUUAGUGUGUGUGGUGGAAAGUUUUUUCGGUGUAGGAUGAGCCCGCGGCCUAUCAGCUUGUUGGUGGGGUAAUGGCCUACCAAGGCGGCGACGGGUAGCCGGACUGAGAGGUUGGUCGGCCACAUUGGGACUGAGAUACGGCCCAGACUCCUACGGGAGGCAGCAGUGGGGAAUAUUGCACAAUGGGCGCAAGCCUGAUGCAGCGACGCCGCGUGGGGGAUGACGGCCUUCGGGUUGUAAACUCCUUUCGCCAGGGACGAAGCGUUUUGUGACGGUACCUGGAGAAGAAGCACCGGCUAACUACGUG